AGUGAACGCUGGCGGUAGGCCUAACACAUGCAAGUCGAACGGCAGCACAGUAAGAGCUUGCUCUUACGGGUGGCGAGUGGCGGACGGGUGAGGAAUACAUCGGAAUCUACUUUUUCGUGGGGGAUAACGUAGGGAAACUUACGCUAAUACCGCAUACGACCUACGGGUGAAAGCAGGGGAUCUUCGGACCUUGCGCGAUUGAAUGAGCCGAUGUCGGAUUAGCUAGUUGGCGGGGUAAAGGCCCACCAAGGCGACGAUCCGUAGCUGGUCUGAGAGGAUGAUCAGCCACACUGAAACUGAGACACGGUCCAGACUCCUACGGGAGGCAGCAGUGGGGAAUAUUGGACAAUGGGCGCAAGCCUGAUCCAGCCAUACCGCGUGGGUGAAGAAGGCCUUCGGGUUGUAAAGCCUUUUUGUUGGGAAAGAAAAGCAGCAGGUUAAUACCCCGCUGUUCUGACGGUACCCAAAGAAUAAGCACCGGCUAACUUCGUG
rnacentral:rRNA from 1 species